rnacentral:rRNA from 1 species
AACGAACGCUGGCGGCAUGCCUAACACAUGCAAGUCGAACGAGACCUUCGGGUCUAGUGGCGUACGGGUGCGUAACGCGUGGGAAUCUGCCCCUUGGUUCGGAAUAACAGCGAGAAAUUGCUGCUAAUACCGGAUAAUGACGUAAGUCCAAAGAUUUAUCGCCAAGGGAUGAGCCCGCGUAGGAUUAGCUAGUUGGUGUGGUAAAGGCGCACCAAGGCGACGAUCCUUAGCUGGUCUGAGAGGAUGAUCAGCCACACUGGGACUGAGACACGGCCCAGACUCCUACGGGAGGCAGCAGUGGGGAAUAUUGGACAAUGGGCGAAAGACCUGAUCCAGCAAUGCCGCGUGAGUGAUGAAGGCCUUAGGGUUGUAAAGCUCUUUACCCGGGUANGAUAAUGACAGUAACCGGGAGAAUAAGACUCCGGCUAACUCCGUGCCAGCAGCCGCCGGUAAAGUGGACUA